GAUGAACGCUGGCGGCGUGCCUAAUACAUGCAAGUCGAGCGAACAGAUGAGGAGCUUGCUCCUCUGACGUUAGCGGCGGACGGGUGAGUAACACGUGGAUAACCUACCUAUAAGACUGGGAUAACUUCGGGAAACCGGAGCUAAUACCGGAUAAUAUAUUGAACCGCAUGGUUCAAUAGUGAAAGACGGUUUUGCUGUCACUUAUAGAUGGAUCCGCGCCGCAUUAGCUAGUUGGUAAGGUAACGGCUUACCAAGGCAACGAUGCGUAGCCGACCUGAGAGGGUGAUCGGCCACACUGGAACGGAGAAACGGUCCAGACUCCUACGGGAGGCAGCAGUAGGGAAUCUUCCGCAAUGGGCGAAAGACUGAAGGAGCAACGCCGCGUGAGUGAUGAAGGUCUUCGGAUCGUAAGACUCUGUUAUUAGGGAAGAACAAAUGUGUAAGUAACUAUGCACGUCUUGACGGUACCUAAUCAGAAGGCCAGGGCUAACUACGUG
rnacentral:rRNA from 1 species